rnacentral:rRNA from 1 species
UACGUAGGGUGCGAGCGUUGUCCGGAAUUAUUGGGCGUAAAGAGCUCGUAGGCGGUCUGUCGCGUCGAUCGUGAAAACUUGGGGCUUAACCCUGAGCUUGCGGUCGAUACGGGCAUGACUGGAGUUCGGCAGGGGGGACUGGAAUUCCUGGUGUAGCGGUGAAAUGCGCAGAUAUCAGGAGGAACACCGGUGGCGAAGGCGGGUCUCUGGGCCGAUACUGACGCUGAGGUGCGAAAGCGUGGGGAGCAAACAGG